GGCUCGGUGGUGGAUGGUCCACACCUGCUUCUUGUAGGGGAUCUUCAUUUGUGCCCGCAGGAAGAGCCUGUUCGAUUCAGGCCCGAGCCG